CAUCUGGGGUGCGAUUGACGCUGAGGCUCGAAAGUGCGGGUAUCAAACAGGAUUAGAUACCCUGGUAGUCCGCACAGUAAACGAUGAAUGCUCGUUCUGGGCGACAGACAGUCCGGGACCGAGGGAAACCAUUAAGCAUUCCACCUGGGGAGUACGCCGGCAACGGUGAAACUCAAAGGAAUUGACGGGGGCCCGCACAAGCGGAGGAACAUGUGGUUUAAUUCGAUGAUACGCGAGGAACCUUACCCGGGCUUGAAAUGUACCUGACGGCGGAGAGAGACCUUCGCUUCCUUCGGGCAGGUAUGUAGGUGCUGCAUGGUUGUCGUCAGCUCGUGCCGUGAGGUGUCGGCUUAAGUGCCAUAACGAGCGCAACCCUUGCCGUCAGUUGCCAUCACGUAGAGGUGGGCACUCUGAGGGGACUGCCAUCGCAAGAUGUGAGGAAGGUGGGGAUGACGUCAAAUCAGCACGGCCCUUACGUCCGGGGCUACACACGUGUUACAAUGGGGGGCACAGCGCGCCGCUACCCGGCGACGGGAUGCGAAUCGUGAAAUCCCCUCUCAGUUCGGACCGGAGUCUGCAACCCGACUCCGCGAAGCUGGAU
rnacentral:rRNA from 1 species